GGGUGGGGUGACUGCGUACCUUUUGUAUAAUGGGUCAGCGACUUAUAUUCUGUAGCAAGGUUAACCGUAUAGGGGAGCCGAAGGGAAACCGAGUCUUAACUGGGCGUUAAGUUGCAGGGUAUAGACCCGAAACCCGGUGAUCUAGCCAUGGGCAGGUUGAAGGUUGGGUAACACUAACUGGAGGACCGAACCGACUAAUGUUGAAAAAUUAGCGGAUGACUUGUGGCUGGGGGUGAAAGGCCAAUCAAACCGGGAGAUAGCUGGUUCUCCCCGAAAGCUAUUUAGGUAGCGCCUCGUGAACUCAUCUUCGGGGGUAGAGCACUGUUUCGGCUAGGGGGUCAUCCCGACUUACCAACCCGAUGCAAACUGCGAAUACCGAAGAAUGUUAUCACGGGAGACACACGGCGGGUGCUAACGUCCGUCGUGAAGAGGGAAACAACCCAGACCGCCAGCUAAGGUCCCAAAGUCACAGUUAAGUGGGAAACGAUGUGGGAAGGCUCAGACAGCCAGGAUGUUGGCUUAGAAGCAGCCAUCAUUUAAAGAAAGCGUAAUAGCUCACUGGUCGAGUCGGCCUGCGCGGAAGAUGUAACGGGGCUAAACUGUGCACCGAAGCUGCGGCAGCGACGCUUAUGCGUUGUUGGGUAGGGGAGCGUUCUGUAAGCCUGCGAAGGUGUCCUGUGAGGGAUGCUGGAGGUAUCAGAAGUGCGAAUGCUGACAUAAGUAACGAUAAUGCGGGUGAAAAGCCCGCUCGCCGGAAGACCAAGGGUUCCUGUCCAACGUUAAUCGGGGCAGGGUGAGUCGACCCCUAAGGCGAGGCCGAAAGGCGUAGUCGAUGGGAAACGGGUUAAUAUUCCCGUACUUGGUGUUACUGCGAAGGGGGGACGGAGAAGGCUAUGUUGGCCGGGCGACGGUUGUCCCGGUUUAAGCGUGUAGGCUGGUUUUCCAGGCAAAUCCGGAAAAUCAAGGCUGAGGCGUGAUGACGAGGCACUACGGUGCUGAAGCAACAAAUGCCCUGCUUCCAGGAAAAGCCUCUAAGCAUCAGGUAACAUCAAAUCGUACCCCAAACCGACACAGGUGGUCAGGUAGAGAAUACCAAGGCGCUUGAGAGAACUCGGGUGAAGGAACUAGGCAAAAUGGUGCCGUAACUUCGGGAGAAGGCACGCUGACACGUAGGUGAAGUGAUUUACUCAUGGAGCUGAAGUCAGUCGAAGAUACCAGCUGGCUGCAACUGUUUAUUAAAAACACAGCACUGUGCAAACACGAAAGUGGACGUAUACGGUGUGACGCCUGCCCGGUGCCGGAAGGUUAAUUGAUGGGGUCAGCGCAAGCGAAGCUCCUGAUCGAAGCCCCGGUAAACGGCGGCCGUAACUAUAACGGUCCUAAGGUAGCGAAAUUCCUUGUCGGGUAAGUUCCGACCUGCACGAAUGGCGUAAUGAUGGCCAGGCUGUCUCCACCCGAGACUCAGUGAAAUUGAACUCGCUGUGAAGAUGCAGUGUACCCGCGGCAAGACGGAAAGACCCCGUGAACCUUUACUAUAGCUUGACACUGAACAUUGAGCCUUGAUGUGUAGGAUAGGUGGGAGGCUUUGAAGUGUGGACGCCAGUCUGCAUGGAGCCGACCUUGAAAUACCACCCUUUAAUGUUU
rnacentral:rRNA from 1 species